UACGAAGGUCCCGAGCGUUGUUCGGAAUCACUGGGCGUAAAGGGAGCGUAGGCGGCGCGGUAAGUCAGAUGUGAAAUCCCGGGCUCAACCCCGGAACUGCAUCCGAUACUGCCGUGCUAGAGGAUUGGAGAGGUAGCUGGAAUUCUUGGUGUAGCAGUGAAAUGCGUGGAGAUCAAGAGGAACACUCGUGGCGAAAGCGAGCUACUGGACAUAUCUGACGC
rnacentral:rRNA from 1 species